GAAUAGGGCUGGUAAGAACUAGCAUUUCUUACGGUGCGUGAAGACUGUUGCCUACAGCUUGGAUAAAGCGAACUCUUGGUGCCUAGUCUUGGCAGAGGCUUCCAGCUAGUUGGUAUCAAAGAUGAGGAUAAGGACGACUUCAUAAAGAACAUUAUCGCCGGAAGAGGGAUCCAGUUCAUGUGGACAAGAGGGAGGCAGGACCUGGAGGUGGUCAUCCUGGUGAACCUUGGCCUGCACCAACCUGUCUCACGUUGAAGGGCUCCGGCGACCAGAGCCACACAACAGGGAAGGCAACGAGGACUCGGGUACUGAUCAUUUAUAACGACGGCAUAAAGUGGCAAGACAUUGCUCGUCACCACAGUGUCAUCUGUGAGACCGGCGUUUAAUUUUUUUGCCAGAAAAUGGCCUGAAUAGUAAAUUUUGUAAAAUAUUAAAAUUUAAACAUAAUCUUCUAGAAUACCUCGGCCAGGAAGUCUCUUUAUGCUUUGUCUACACAACUUGCCACUAGGAACCUAGUGUCAUUCGGGUAAUUUUUCUUUUUAGGGAAAAUAUAUCCCUCGGUUAAACUAUUAAUGGCUUGUGACUAUUAGUCACAAUGACAUGACAUUAGAACAAUGCAUAGUGGUAUGUGAACAACCAUAUGUACACCAAUUAGCCCCCCCCCCCUCCCCUACAGACCAGUGAAGGUGUAUUACUUGUAAAGCCUGGUGGUGGCAUUAUUGUGGGGGUCUCCCAGUGACCUCGCUAAAUGUCUAAGAUGAAUGACUUGUACUGUUUGUUUGGCAGAGACACACUUUCUGGAAGAAACUUGAACGCUGCCUCGACUCUCCAAUGUUCUAAAUACAUCUUACAGGUGUUUAUAUUAAAAACAAUUCUAACUGGUCAACUAACUUGAGUAAAUGAUUUCCUUAGUUGCCUAUAUCUCUCUCUCCACAGAACU